GGUGCUGCAGUGUUUGGUUGGGACAAACUAAAGGGAAUUUAUUUCUUUCUAAAACAAAUGUUAAGAAAACCAAUGCAAGUAAUUUUCUUGGUCUAAUGUUUGCAGAUGCUUGUGUUUUUUUGUUUUUUGUUUUUUUAAAUCUGGGCCUGUAGGGAAUUCUCUUGGUGGCAUAGAGCUGGGGUUGCCAGCUGUAAACUGCCACCUUGCAUUCCUAGGUACAAUGACAGUGAAAGAUGUGUGGCUAGAGUACUACUGUACUGUGGUAAUCACUCACUGCCCAGUGAAAUGGCCACUUGGGAGCUGUUGCAAUUGGGCAGAAAUUUGUGCAGCCUUGAAGGCUGCUUUAGGAUUGGGGGAUGAGGUAAAGUGGUAUUCAAACCAUAUUAAUCCUCUUCUCUGCCCCCUGACUCCAUGGCCUGUAGGCUUGGCUGGACUGAAGGAUAUUGUCCCUUAGGUUUUGGCCUACAUUUGUUGCCCCUUUCACCCAAGUGCCUCCUUCCUGAGAGCAUGAAUAAUGAAAUUGUACAAAAUGGCAUCUGACUAUGAAUAAACUCAAGAUUGCAGGCUCUUCUGCAUGUUUGUUAACAUCAGAAAGGACCCACUUUUGUGGCAAAUCUAAGGAAACUAUAUGAAUGAAGAUUGUAAACGCGUCCCUUUUUCCUCUCAGCAAAAAUUCAUUUAUUUAGAUUUAACACAGACAUUCAAAAAAGUGAAAACAGCUAUUAAGUAGAAAAAUAGGAGCAUAAAUUGGAGCAUAAAUCUUUUCUCACAUCAGUCCUUUGCUCCAUUUUGCGGCAAAUGUGAAUUUCACGUAUGCAGUGACUAUGUUGACGUUGGCAAUAAUCAUCAUGUUGUUGCACCUUGUAGGAAGUGAAGUCCCUUUGGAAUUCUAUUUAAGAUUGAUGCUAUAACCAGGAACCAAGUAGGAAUAGGAGCUGGUGACAGAAGUUGCUGCAAAAACAAGACCCAAAUGUGAUUGAAAACUAAGUAGCUCACUACACUGUAUUACACCACACGCAGGGAAAAUGUGCUGUUUGUGUACACAAAUUGCAGAGACCGAAUUCAUCCCUGUUAAGGGUUAGCAGUGGUGCUCUGCUGUAGUUUGAUGGCUGGAGAGAUUAAGACAAGGAACGCACUAAAGCAUUAUGUAAGCUCAAGUAAAAAACCUUGAUGUGGCAAAUCUAGCGGUUGCCUCAAACCUGUCAUUUGGAAUUGCUGUUCAUGACACAGUUGUCCACCUGGAUAUUUAAAGUUUCUCAAUCCUGUAAGAAAACUGCACCAAACACAUGCCACUGGUAGAAGCAAGCCUGCUUCCUGAGUGUAGAAAAGAAUACAAGGAGGAUGCUAGUGCUCAGUAGGGUCACAAAAGACGGCUGAGCACAGAUAUUUCCGUAUUUCCUGCUAGGAUAUUCAUCCUCCUGGGACUGUCUAAAUUUAUUUCUCUCAAACUAAACAAUUAGAUCUCUUGCUAAUAAAGAUUUUCAGACAUCUGUCUUGUUAAUUGCAUGAGUGCAUCACUUAAUAGGCAUUUUAUAAAAUGCCUCAGAAAUUUAGGUCCCAGCCUGUAGUGUGGAUGAAUUCUUCCUUUGUUCAGCCUGAUCUGAUGGAGAAGUUGCUGCAAUACAUUUCGUCCAGGUGUCUAAUUGGUGCAGUGUGCACAGGAUUUACUAGUGUGGUAAUGGGAGCUUGUGGUAAGGAAGAAAAGAGCUUUUCACCCACUGGAUACUCCUAUGAAUCUGGCUCAGGACAAAAGUGACCAAAGAUCAUCCAAGUUUGAUGGCUGUACACAGGCUAGAUGAAAUGAAUAGCUAAAUCUCAGGCCUGUUCCUAGCAGUGAUAGUUCACGUGGAUUCUGCCUUUGCUGACUUAACAAGCAGUUGUCUGUUUGCUUGGAGGUGGAUAGUAGGAGUUCUAAUUUACACAAUGCUGCAGGACAGCCUUACCAAAAUGGCCAUCUAAUCUAGAAGCCUCUACCAAAGAACAGUGUCUUGUAAGUAUGUAGACUGAGCUCCACAAGCUGUCCUACUAAUUUCAGAAAUGGGGAUAUUCUCAAACUGACUACAGAGGCUGCCUGAGCUCUGAUGAAUGAGCUCUAACAUGACUAGGUGGCUCUCACUUGGCUAGCUCAUAACAUUCUUUUGAUGAUCUCUGUGAGAAUAUUGCCUGACCUUUUAACCCUAUCAGCAAAGACCACAAACAGAGGCUCUAGGUGUGCUCCUGAAUGAUUGUGCUGUUGGUGUAGUAAGGGCACUGUCAUAUUACCUUAACUGUAUGAAGUUUGGCUUCCUCUGGAGUUGAAUGAGGCUUGGGGAAGAAAAACUGGGAGAUGAAAAAAUUGGUUCAUCUGGAACUUGGGGCAAUAACUUAGAUCAGGCCUGACAGUGAACCACUCUUUAUGAAACACAGUAAAAGGGGAGCUUUCCACCUCCCCACCCCAAGGGUCUGAAUCUUUUUUUAAACCUUCCAGCUCUAUAAUGGCUACUAAAAAGGCAGCCUUCGUUAUCGGGUGGGAUAGGGAACAAGUUGCUAAGGGCUCAAAGGGCCCUUCAACUCUGUUAACACUGUACUGAGGUUCCAAACUGGAGAGGGGGUGGGGAAGCGAGGGUCAUGAAUAAGUCCCUUAAAGAAUCUAGCCACCAUAGGGUGAAAAAAUAGUGUGGCCUGGGAUAAGUGAGUAAUGUGCAGAUAUCACUGCUAGAUGGAACUAAUAAAGCCUAGAUCGUUGCAUAGACCAAUAUUGCUGCAGUUGAUGUCGAGAGACAGAUAGUGCUGAGAUGCCCAAACA